GAUGAACGCUGGCGGCGUGCCUAAUACAUGCAAGUCGAGCGAACAGACGAGGAGCUUGCUCCUCUGACGUUAGCGGCGGACGGGUGAGUAACACGUGGAUAACCUGCCUAUAAGACUGGGAUAACUUCGGGAAACCGGAGCUAAUACCGGAUAAUAUAUUGAACCGCAUGGUUCAAUAGUGAAAGACGGUUUUGCUGUCACUUAUAGAUGGAUCCGCGCCGCAUUAGCUAGUUGGUAAGGUAACGGCUUACCAAGGCGACGAUGCGUAGCCGACCUGAGAGGGUGAUCGGCCACACUGGAACUGAGACACGGUCCAGACUCCUACGGGAGGCAGCAGUAGGGAAUCUUCCGCAAUGGGCGAAAGCUUGACGGAGCAACGCCGCGUGAGUGAUGAAGGUCUUCGGAUCGUAAAACUCUGUUAUUAGGGAAGAACAAAUGUGUAAGUAACUAUGCACGUCUUGACGGUACCUAAUCAGAAAGCCACGGCUAACUACGUG
rnacentral:rRNA from 1 species